rnacentral:rRNA from 1 species
UACGUAGGGGGCAAGCGUUAUCCGGAUUUACUGGGUGUAAAGGGAGUGUAGGCGGCACGGCAAGUCAGAUGUGAAAACCCGCGGCUCAACUGCGGGACUGCAUUUGAAACUGUCGAGCUUGAGUGCAGGAGAGGAAAGUGGAAUUCCUAGUGUAGCGGUGAAAUGCGUAGAUAUUAGGAGGAACACCAGUGGCGAAGGCGGCUUUCUGGACUGUAACUGACGCUGAGGCUCGAAAGCGUGGGGAGCAAAC